rnacentral:rRNA from 1 species
GAGGAACACGUGAGAAAUCUGCCUUCAACUCUGGGAUAACUCCGGGAAACCGGGGCUAAUACCGGAUAUGAAACCUUCAGGCAUCUGAGGGUUUGGAAAGUUUUUCGGUUGAAGAUGAUCUCGCGGCCUAUCAGCUUGUUGGUGAGGUAAUGGCUCACCAAGGCGACGACGGGUAGCCGGCCUGAGAGGGCGACCGGCCACACUGGGACUGAGACACGGCCCAGACUCCUACGGGAGGCAGCAGUGGGGAAUAUUGGGCAAUGGAGGAAACUCUGACCCAGCGACGCCGCGUGCGGGAUGAAGGCCUUCGGGUUGUAAACCGCUUUCAGCAGGGAAGAAGCGAAAGUGACGGUACCUGCAGAAGAAGCACCGGCUAACUAUGUGCCAGCAGCCGCGGUAAUACAUAGGGUGCAAGCGUUGUCCGGAAUUAUUGGGCGUAAAGAGCUCGUAGGUGGUUCGUCACGUCGGAUGUGAAACUCUGGGGCUUAACCCCAGACCUGCAUUCGAUACGGGCGAGCUUGAGUAUGGUAGGGGAGUCUGGAAUUCCUGGUGUAGCGGUGGAAUGCGCAGAUAUCAGGAGGAACACCAAUGGCGAAGGCAGGACUCUGGGCCAUUACUGACACUGAGGAGCGAAAGCGUGGGGAGCGAACAGGAUUAGAUACCCUGGUAGUCCACGCCGUAAACGGUGGGCACUAGUUGUGGGGACCUUCCACGGUCUCUGCGACGCAGCUAACGCAUUAAGUGCCCCGCCUGGGGAGUACGAUCGCAAGAUUAAAACUCAAAGGAAUUGACGGGGCCCCGCACAAGCAGCGGAGCAUGCGGCUUAAUUCGACGCAACGCGAAGAACCUUACCAAGGCUUGACAUAUACAGGAAUAUGGCAGAGAUGUCAUAGCCGCAAGGUCUGUAUACAGGUGGUGCAUGGUUGUCGUCAGCUCGUGUCGUGA